CACCAAUCUACUAGGCUUUGAAUUUCAUGGUAAUGUUUUGUUUUUGAGUGCAUGCAAGCAUGAUUCGGCCUUUAAUUGUUAAUUGCAUGCUAUAUGAUGUUGCUUGAAUGAACAUGUUUUUCAAAAUAAUCCCUUCAGUUUCAACAGCGAAAUUUGGUUGAUAAUUGCAGCGAUACAUUCGUUGUAUCCAACAUGGAGUUCGAUUUUUUUUAAGGCAACUACCCUUGUGGCUGCUGGCAAGGUGGUAAUGAUGGCAACAGCUGUAGUUGCUUUCUGGGUUUGCAUUCUGCAGGGUAGAGGUUAGGGUUUUUAUUUUAUUUUAUAUUUUUUCAAUGGGUUUUGGGCUAUGCUCAGUUUUUAUAGGGCUUGUUUGUUGUAACUUGUAUUGGGCUUUUUCUCAUUCAACCAAAUCUUAUGUUUUUUGGACCAAAAGAAAAAUUAUAAAAUACUCAUAUAGCACAAGACAAUGUUAGGAAAACUAAAUUUUUAAUUAGACCAUCUUUUGUAGUCUACAUGAUGUGGCGGUUGAUGGUUGGACUCUUUUUUUACGAUUUAAGAAGGAAUCUAAUCAUCAACUGUCAACAAAAGUUUUUUUUGUUCAAAAUAUGAUUAAUAAAAGAUGGUUUAAAAAUUUAUUCUCUCUGGCAUCACCUUUUAGCAUAAAGCUUUAUGAGGAACUAGAGAAAGUGAGGGUGGGAAUAACAUGAUCCGGUUGUUUCAAUGUUUUUUUUUUUUUUGAGUGUUUGCCCCCUACUUGGAACUAGCUUUGAUGGUCCCUGUCCCUCGUAACUUAUUAACACGUGGUCGCAUUGGACUUUACAAUGCACAAUUUUUAUUGAAUAAUCCUAAACUUAAUCAAAAUGUUUAUUUUCUGUGAUGAAUGAAUACUAAAACAUUUUUUUUUUUAAAUGAUGAAAGAUUUUACGAAAAAGUUAAACAUUGAUAUGUUUGAUGUUGAUGCUCACGUUAGACAUUGCAAUGCAGAGCUUUCAAUGCUUCAACAUAGAAAAGCACUUAAAAUGAUUAUUAUUAUUAUUAUUUUUUUUAAGUUUAGGAAAGUUGGAAAAUUUGACCUACCUAGAGAACGAAGGGCGUGGUUCGGAGUAUGCUCGACCAUGCCUCAACAGUGGCGAAGCUACGUGAGGGAGGG
rnacentral:lncRNA from 1 species